GUGAGUUAAACGGAAAUGAACAAAACUUUGGAAACCUCCGUGACGUCCCUCUCUGCUUCCGUUGCUUUGGUCUGCGCGCUAGCUCCCGGCCCUGCUAACCAAGCCCUAGGAUAACAGACUUAUGCAGAGGAGAGGCGCUCGGCCCACCUGUCUGGAAGGAAGUCUCGGUCCAUGACAGGUUGAGGCUGUUGCUGUUAGGCUUCGUCAAGGCGCACAUUAUGGCAGCAGCACAGCCAGAAAGGGAGAAAGAGCUGAUCCUGCAGUCCCCCAGCGGCCUAGACCUGAUGGUUCCACCCCUUGAGGUCUCCACCGCCUCUCAGUGGUGCUCAACUGGUACUACGAUUCCAAAAAUAGAGAAAAAUAAGCACGAUUGUCAGAAUCUGAGUCCAGGGUGAGAGGCACAAGGUCUUCCCUGAGUCAGACACUUAGGGCCAGUGGGACCCAAACUGGUGAUCCUCCUGCCUCAGCCUCCCAGAGUGCUGUGGUUACAGGCAUGCACCACCAUGCUUGACCCACUCAUGUCUUUCUUAAAUCUUUCCUUAUUCUUCUGGUUUCAUGGGAGGCUUGAAAUAUGACAACUGUCGUCAAAGGUCAUUUGGAUUUGAGUCAAGAGACGAACAGGUGAAUUUCUUAAGGCAAGUCCCUCCACGCAGGUCAGACUUCCUUCGGUGCCGUUACCAAUUUCCUAAGAAUCAUGAGUGCUCCAAAGGCCCAACUUGCCUUGUCUGGGAUUCAAUUCUACUGCAAUCAAUGACUUGAGAAAUUUUUCAUUCUGAAGAUGUUGCUGGCUCCUCUAAGGGGAGGUGUUUGAAUCACCUGUUAAUAUUGCAGUGAGGCACCCUUUCACCUUUCAAGUUUAGAUCUGGCCCCCUAAGAUUAAAAAUUAGUCCCAAUCUCCAGAACCUGCAUCUGUGUCACCGUCCAUGGCACCAGGACUUGGCUGUGUGAUUAAGGUUAAGGACUUGAGCCAGGGAUUUAGCUCAGUGGUUCCAGUGCCUACCUUGAAAGCACAAGGUCCUGAGUUUGAUCCCCAGUACCAAAAGAAAAAAAAGAAGGUAAAAGACUUGAGAUGGGAGAUCAUCCUGGAUUAUCUGGCUGGGCCCAGUAUAACCACAGGAAUCCUGAAAAGUGGAGAAUCUUUGCAAGGUAUG
rnacentral:lncRNA from 1 species